UACGUAGGGUGCGAGCGUUGCCCGGAUUUAUUGGGCGUAAAGGGCGCGCAGGCGGCUACGCACGUCCGUUGUGAAAUCGCUCGGCUCAACUGGGCGGGGUCAGCGGAUACGGCGUAGCUGGAGCAAGCUAGGGGGCAAUGGAAUUCCCGGUGUAGUGGUGGAAUGCGUAGAGAUCAGGCAGAACACCUGGGGCGAAGGCGGCCAGCUGGGCCGUCCCUGACGCUGAGGCGCGAAGGCGUGGGGAGCGAACGGG
rnacentral:rRNA from 1 species